GGAUGCAUGGAAUAGCCUUCCAGCUGAAGUGGUAGAGGUUAACACAGUAAAGGAGUUUAAGCAUGCAUGGGAUAGGCAUAAGGCUAUCCUAACUAUAAGAUAAGGCUAGGGACUAAUGAAAGUUUUUAGAAAAUUGGGCAGACUAGAUGGGCCGAAUGGUUCUUAUCUGCCGUCACACUCUAUGUUUCUAUGUUUCUAUGUACCGCUGUCAGGUCUCCAAUGUAUCCUCUCUUUCUUUAAUCCUUUUGAACUUUUUAGAGUCUCCUACCCCUAGGACCAACUUUGACCCAAAGUAAUCCAGCAAAGAUAAAUGUGGGAGGAGGUUCCAUCACCUUGAUCUUUUGGUAGACUUUAUUGUAGCAUCAAGGUAAAAUCACACCAACAUGUGCACGCAUGAUUAAGACCCUGGUCAAAAUGUUAAUGUGAUUUUACCUUACUUUAUCCUUAUUUGGCCCUGGUUAAAGGACCACUAUAGUGCCAGGUAAACAUACUCAUUUUACUAGCACUAUAGUGCCCACCCUCAGUGACUACCUCCCGCCCGGCUCUAGGGGGAGGAAGGGGUUAAACUUACCUCUGCGCAUUCAGCGACGUCAUCGGCUAAUGCGCAUGCGCGGUAGGAGCCGCGAGCGCAUUCAGCCAGUCCAAAGGAAAGCAUUCUCAAUGCUUUCCUAUGGAAGCUGGCAUCUUCUCACUGUGAAAAUCACAGUGAGAAGCGCGGAAGCGCCUCUAGCGGCUGUCAAUGAGACAGCCACUAGAGGCUGGAUUUACCCAUAGGUAAACAUAGCAGUUUCUCUAAAACUGCUAUGUUUAUAGAAAAAGGGUUAAAUCUAGCUGGACCUGGCACCCAGACCACUUCAUUAAGCCGAAGUGGUCUGGGUGCCUAUAGUGGUCCUUUAAGCUGGUGUAAAACAUGCUGAGAACAUUUUGGGGGCAUUUGAACUAAGAGUUUUCCCAGUAACUCUAGUUCUGUAAGCUUUCCUCAGAUGAACGCCGCAGGUAAGUUCCAGGUGAAACAUGAAGAUUGUUUUAGACUGAAGCUGUUCUAUGACUUGAAUGCGGUCUAGUGAAGAUUACCAGCUCAGUUUACUAAUGCAGCCCCAAGUAGGGAAACCAAUCAAUUACUAAUUUGACAAGUUUACAUCAGGAAACUGUGCGCUUGCUUUUGUUAAUAAGAUAUUGAUUACAUUUUAAUUGCUGAUAAAUAUAAAUGAAGAGAGAAAAUUGUUGCUCAUUAUGGUUACAUUCAUUCAGGGGUGUCCAAAAGGGACAUUCCCAGAUGUUUUAAAACUACAGCUUCCAUGAUGCUUUGUAAAAUAAAGGCAUGGUAAGGGCAUACAAAUCAUCAUGGGAGUUGAAGUUUUACAACAUCUGGGGAUCUACAUUUUGGGCAGCCCUGCAUUAAUUGAACACUCUGCAGCCUGCCUCUGUGGUAAAAUUUGGUACUACUUAAAAUGAGAGUAACUGUAGGAAGUGAAUGAAACGCUAGGUGGUGAUAUAUGCAUCAACUUUUUUCAUUUUUUAUUUUUAUUUUUUUUCCUGUAAAUCUAUCUCUCAUGCUCUUAUCUACUGAAGAUUCACCACAACUAAAUGUUCUUUUGAGAUAAAACUCUGAUAAAUCCUGUAAAAUAAAAAAAAAACAACUGUAAAACUGUUCACAGAAAUAUUCAUUUUAUUAAAAUGUGAAGACAAAGAAAAACCAUGUAUAUUGUUUUACAUUAAAUUAUUAUAUUGUUUUAUUUAUUAAAGUAUAACCUGUAUUGCCAAAUUGGAUCAAUAUUUCAUCUUUCAUACUGCCCUUGAAGCUUUAUCACCCAUAGCAACAAAUUGGUCAUCAUCAAAAAUCCUUUUAAUUGAGAUGAGCAGACAACAGAUAAAACAGACCCGUAUGUAUCUGAUUUUGGAACCAGCUCCAAGUCCCAAAAAGUUUGGGAAAUAGCAUGGAAACAAUGGAAACCUUCUUCCAAUAAAUAUGAAACGGUUUUAACAAAACUAAGUAUGAGAAUACUGUAAUAGUUGAUACGAUUAACACGAAAGGGGUUAUUCAGGAUUAUUGCUGCUCCUUACUUGCAUGAUUUGACUGAGAUCAAGCACUCAGGGUUCUCACAUUGGAAGAGCUAGGAUUGGUUUGAUACCUUAUGUUUAAUUUUCCUCAUGCUCUGUAACCACAAUCUAUUAUGUUAGGGACACUGCUGGACAUAAUUAGUGUUUAUGGGAGACUCCACCUCCCCCUGCCCUCCCCAGUUACACAGACUAAAUUAUUUCCUUUAUAUUUUUAUAUAUAGUUAUGUCUUAUAAAUGAAGUUGAUGAAGAUCCAUGUCUUUAUAUACACUUUGCAAUCAUUGCUCAGAUACAGGUUUUCAUUGCAUAUACUCAGAAAGUACCUAGCAAUAUUAUAUCUGUAUGACUGAAUCCUGGAACAGAGGGACAUUAACACAAAUUUGAGGCAGAACCUAUUGUUGAAUGGUACCUUGCAUUCUAUGUACAAAAUGUGUAAAUUUGUCUAAAUCUGUAACCUGUAUUUAUAAGCUGUCAAUCUCAAUAAAAAUAUGAUUUGUUAAAAAUAAAAUAAUUUUAAAGAUUGUAAAAUGUCAUAAAUUAAAAGAGAAUUUCAAAUUAAGGGAACAAUAACUGGAAUGUAAACCUCCUCUAAGUUAGCUAUGUAUUAUGUUUGACUCUGAAUAAAGCCAAGCCACACAUCACA